GAUGAACGCUGGCGGCGUGCCUAAUACAUGCAAGUCGAGCGAACAGACGAGGAGCUUGCUCCUCUGACGUUAGCGGCGGACGGGUGAGUAACACGUGGAUAACCUACCUAUAAGACUGGGAUAACUUCGGGAAACCGGAGCUAAUACCGGAUAAUAUAUUGAACCGCAUGGGUCAAUAGUGAAAGACGGUUUUGCUGUCACUUAUAGAUGGAUCCGCGCCGCAUUAGCUAGUUGGUAGGGUAACGGCUUACCAAGGCAACGAUGCGUAGCCGACGUGAGGGGGGGAUCGCCCACCUUGGAACUGAGACGCGGUCCAGACGCCUGCGGGAGGCCGCAGUAGGGAAUCUUCCGCAAUGGGCGAAAGCCUGACGGAGCAACGCCGCGUGAGUGAUGAAGGUCUUCGGAUCGUAAAACUCUGUUAUUAGGGAAGAACAAAUGUGUAAGUAACUAUGCACGUCUUGACGGUACCUAAUCAGAAAGCCACGGCUAACUACGUG
rnacentral:rRNA from 1 species